CCUACGGGAGGCAGCAGUGGGGAAUAUUGCACAAUGGUGGCAACCCUGAUGCAGCGACGCCGCGUGAGUGAAGACGUAUUUCGGUAUGUUAAGCUCUUUCAGCAGGGAAGAAAAUGGCGGUACCUGAUUAAGAUGCUACGGCUAACUUCGUUCCAGCAGCCGCGGUAAUGCGUAGGGGGCCAGCGUUAUCCGGAUUUACUGGGCGUAAAGGGAGCGUAGACGGCAGCACAAGUCUGGAGUGAACUGCCGGGGCUGAACCACGGAACUGCUGUGGGAACUGUGCAGCUUGAGUGCAGGGGAGGUAAGGGGAAUUCCUAGUGUAGCGGUGAAAUGCGUAGAUAUCAGGAGGAACAC
rnacentral:rRNA from 1 species